UACAGAGGGUGCGAGCGUUGUCCGGAAUCACUGGGCGUAAAGGGCGCGUAGGCGGCGCGGUAAGCGUGCGGUGAAAGCCCGGGGCUCAACCCCGGGUCGGCCGUGCGGACUGCCGGGCUGGAGCACUGUAGAGGCAGGUGGAAUUCCGGGUGUAGCGGUGAAAUGCGUAGAUAUCACUCGGAAGGCCAACGGCGAAGGCAGGUCACUGGUGCGCAACUGACGCUGAGGCACGAAAGCGUGGGGAGCAAACAGG
rnacentral:rRNA from 1 species